rnacentral:rRNA from 1 species
AGAGUUUGAUCAUGGCUCAGAAUCAACGCUGGCGGCGUGCCUAACACAUGCAAGUCGAACGAGAAAGGGUAGCAAUACCUGAGUAAAGUGGCGCACGGGUGAGUAACACGUGACUAACCUACCCUGGAGUGGGGGAUAACUGAGGGAAACCUUAGCUAAUACCGCAUAACACCUACGGGUCAAAGGAGCAAUUCGCUUCAGGAGGGGGUCGCGGCAGAUUAGCUAGUUGGCGGGGUAACGGCCCACCAAGGCAAUGAUCUGUAUCCGGCCUGAGAGGGCGCACGGACACACUGGAACUGAAACACGGUCCAGACUCCUACGGGAGGCAGCAGUGGGGAAUUUUGCGCAAUGGGGGAAACCCUGACGCAGCAACGCCGCGUGAAGGAUGAAGUAUUUCGGUACGUAAACUUCUUUCGAUCGGGACGAUAAUGACGGUACCGAGAGAAGAAGCCCCGGCUAACUUCGUGCCAGCAGCCGCGGUAAUACGAGGGGGGCGAGCGUUGUUCGGAAUUAUUGGGCGUAAAGGGUGCGUAGGCGGUUUGGUAAGUCUGAUGUGAAAUCUCUGGGCUCAACUCAGAGUCUGCAUCGGAAACUGCCGGGCUUGAGUAUGGGAGAGGUGAGUGGAAUUCCUGGUGUAGCGGUGAAAUGCGUAGAUAUCAGGAGGAACACCUGUGGCGAAAGCGGCUCACUGGACCAUAACUGACGCUGAUGCACGAAAGCUAGGGGAGCAAACAGGAUUAGAUACCCCAGUAGUCC